AGCCCAGCAGCUAGCUUUAAUCUUAAAAUUCAACAACCCCCUAUUAAUAAACCCUAAUAACCGAACCAACUAAAAACAAACCAUUUUUCCCCCCAAGUAUGGG
rnacentral:rRNA from 1 species